rnacentral:rRNA from 1 species
CAGUAGCCACGGGAAUACGUAGGUGGCAAGCGUUGUCCGGAAUUAUUGGGCGUAAAGGGCUCGCAGGCGGUUUCUUAAGUCUGAUGUGAAAGCCCCCGGCUCAACCGGGGAGGGUCAUUGGAAACUGGGAAACUUGAGUGCAGAAGAGGAGAGUGGAAUUCCACGUGUAGCGGUGGAAUGCGUAGAGAUGUGGAGGAACACCAGUGGCGAAGGCGACUCUCUGGUCUGUAACUGACGCUGAGGAGCGAAAGCGUGGGGAGCGAACAGGAUUAGAUACCCGCGUAGUCCCUGUCUCUUAUAC